rnacentral:rRNA from 1 species
AGCCGCAAAUCGUGCUAAGGUAGCAUAAUCAUUUGUCUUCUAAUUAAAGACUAGAACAAAAGAUUUAACAUUUUUAAAAACUUUUUUAUUCUCAAUUUUCAAAUUAUCUUAAUUGUAAAAAGACAAUUAUUUAGAAGAAAGACGACAAGACCCUAUUAAACUUAACUAUUGUUUUACUGGGGUAGUAAUUAAAUUAUUAUUUUUCUUUUAAUUUUUCUGUUUUGAUCCAAUUACUUUGAUUAUAAUAAGUUACUAUAGGGAUAACAGUGUAAUUAUAUUUAAGAGCCCUUAUCUAAAAAAUAAAUUGCAACCUCGAUGUUGAAUUAAUAUCCUCCCUUAAGCAAAAUUUUAAUAAAGGAAGUCUGUUCGACUUUUAAAAAAUUACGUGAUUUGAGUUCAGACCGGUGUAAGCCAGGUCGGUUUAUAUCUUCUAUCCAAUUUCUUACAGUACGAAAGGACCCAUUAAUCUAAAUUAAUUUAUAAUAUUAGCAAAUAAAUGCAUUAGAAUUAGAAUCUAAACAAGUAAU